AAACGGGAGAGAUCCGAAAGGUCGAAAGGGGGAGACUCAAUCCCGUCCGCGAGCCUGGUGCCGUUUUCGGUCCCACGGAUGCUGCCGGCCGCCGGUCGCGUCGUAAGGCGCGAUCCGGGUCGGAGUCGGUAGCACCGGGGCUGGAGGCCCAGCCGCGGCGAGGUGCACUUCUCCCCCCGAGUAGGACGUCGCGACCCGUUGGGCACGGCCGGCCUAAGGCUUGGGAUGAGGCCGAGGAGGCUGCCACGCAAUUGCGUGGGUCAACGGUCUCCCGGACCCUGGAUGUCCUGGCCGGCGCCCGACGGCAUGCUUCGCGGAGAAGGCCCGCUCCCUCGCAGAGCGAGCGUCCGGCCUGGAGGACAAGCUCGACGCUGGGCAUGAGGUGCCGUGGCUUCCGCCACGUCCCCGGCUCCCGUCGUCUGUUGGUCCCCGGAGUUCUCGGACGGUGGCCGUCUCCCGUCUGCGGCGCUUCUGCUUCGGAUGCUUUCCCGAC
rnacentral:rRNA from 2 species